rnacentral:misc_RNA from 1 species
GAUGAAGAACGUAGCGAAAUGCGAUAAGUAAUGUGAAUUGCAGAAUUCCGUGAAUCAUCGAAUCUUUGAACGCACAUUGCGCCCCCUGGUAUUCCGGGGGGCAUGCCUGUCCGAGCGUCAUUGCAACCCUCAAGCGCGGCUUGUGUGUUGGGCUUCGUCCCCCCGUGGACGUGCCCGAAAGGCAGUGGCGGCGUCCCGAAUGGUGCCCGAGCGUAUGGGAACUCUCUUCCGCUCGAACCGGCCCAUUCGGCGCUGGUCGAACCCCAAUUUUUUUUACCGGUUGACCUCGGAUCAGGUAGGGAUACCCGCUGAACUUAAGCAUAUCAAUAAGCGGAGGA